CCUACGGGAGGCUGCAGUGGGGAAUAUUGCGCAAUGGGCGAAAGCCUGACGCAGCGACGCCGCGUGGGUGAUGAAGGCCUUCGGGUUGUAAAGCCCUGUCGGGUGGAACGAACGAUCUGGCGGCGAAUAACCGCCGGGUGUGACGGUACCACCGAAGGAAGCCCCGGCUAACUACGUGCCAGCAGCCGCGGUACGACGUAGGGGGCGAGCGUUCGUCGGAUUCGCUGGGCGGAAUGCGCACGUCGGCGGUGAAAUCCCUCGGCUUAACCGAGGUCCAGCAUACGAUACUGUCUGGCUCGAGUCUAGGAGAGGAAAGCGGAAUUCCCAGUGUAGCGGUGAAAUGCGUAGAUAUUGGGAGGAACACCGGUGGCGAAGGCGGCUUUCCGGACUAGUACUGACGCUGAGGCGCGAAAGCUAGGGGAGCGAACGGGAUUAGAUACCCGAGUAGUC
rnacentral:rRNA from 1 species